GGACCUGACUGCUAUCGGAUUGAUACUAAGCCCUGCGAGUCAUUGUAGCAAUACAAGGCAUACGGCUCAGUAACGCGUAGUCAACCUAACCUAUGGACGGGAAUAACCUCGGGAAACUGAGAAUAAUGCCCGAUAGAACAUUAUGCCUGGAAUGGUUUAUGUUCCAAAUGAUUUAUCGCCGUAGGAUGGGACUGCGGCCUAUCAGUUUGUUGGUGAGGUAAUGGCCCACCAAGACUAUUACAGGUACGGGCUCUGAGAGGAGUAGCCCGGAGAUGGGUACUGAGACACGGACCCAGGCCCUAUGGGGCGCAGCAGGCGAGAAAACUUUGCAAUGUGCGAAAGCACGACAAGGUUAAUCCGAGUGGUUUCUGCUAAAGAAACCUUUUGUCAGUCCUAGAAACACUGAUGAAUAAGGGGUGGGCAAGUUCUGGUGU
rnacentral:rRNA from 1 species